rnacentral:misc_RNA from 1 species
UCCGAGUUGACCCCGGCAGUCUCCUGCGAGUCCCCGGCUUUACCCGCUGGCAACACAGGACAAGGGUUGCGCUCGUUGCGGGACUUAACCCAACAUCCCACGACAUGAGCUGACGACAGCCAUGCACCACCUGUGUAUCACCCUCGAAGGCGACUUCUUUUCGGAAGCUUGCAGAUACAUGUCAAGCCCUGGUAAGGUUCUUCGCGUUGCAUCGAAUUAAGCCACAUGCUCCACCGCUUGUGCGGGCCCCCGCCAAUUCCUUUGAGUUUUAGCCUUGCGGCCGUACUCCCCAGGCGGGGCACUUAAUGCGUUAGCUACGGCACGGAGCCCGUUGAUAAGGCCCCACACCUAGUGCCCAACGUUUACGGCGUGGACUAC